CUCAAUCAGAAAACUAAUGCAUGUCUUGUCUGCUAGGCUGGCAUUUCUUCUUCAAGACAUUUUCACAAUUCCAAGGGGAGCAUUUAACACUUUGUCUGUUGAUUUGCCCAUUUCACAGCUUCCCUUUCUUUCUCUUAUUCUCUAUCCAUUUUUAAUCCGGUUCUCGCACACUGUCAUUUACUUUAUGAAAUUCGGCAUAUUCAGGAACACUAUCCACCAGUUUGGACUGCUCUGGGGCAAGCGAGUGCCUUCGCAGCGAAAGCUGAGCCUAUCUGGUGAUGAAUCUCUGAGCAAGAUAUUAGGGCCUUUCCUUCUCUGUUUCUAACCACUAUCCCCGAAGCCGCUUGACUAGAUCUUUCAUCAUAUGCUACGUCAAAAUUAAUCUUCACUGUCUGAUCAGAUUGCCCAUAACGCGCAACAAAAUAAUUUGAAUAGGGAAAUGUUAUUCUGAGCAAACACCCAGGGCAUUCUCGGAAAAGAUGGUCCAUCGUUUCCAUGCUGAUUCACACCGGGGGCAAAUUGCAUUAGUAAUUAGCUUUCUGUAUUGCAUGUUAGCUCGUGUAGGCAAGUAAUUCUAGGAGGUUUUCCAAAUUGUAAUCUUAAUUUUGGAGGGUAGAUUUAAAAGCUAUAGUUUUUUUUUAUAGAAACUACUGUAGUCGGUUUGUAAAGCAUAAACACUAGGAUCUUUCGACCUUUGUAAGAGUUUAUAGGCACGAUGGACAGAGUAUUCUCCCGAGAGUUCACCACUCCAAGCCAGGAAAUCAUCAUGAGGUGCUUUCGCCAGAGGAAUAUGUAGAAUCUUCUCAGCUACUUCAUUCGAAAAGAUUUGUAGGGUUUGGGGUCUUUGGGAUCAGCACUUUAUCUGUUGAAUUGAAAGAGCCAAAAUUCUGAUCUUCAGUCAAAAUUCCCAAACAAAAGGUUGUGACGUCUUUACCUACGAUGUGCCAGAAUUUUUGAAAAAAUAUUGCGGGAAAACCAUCUGAUCCUGGUGCUUUAGUGGGCCCCAUACCUUUUAGGGCCACAGACACUUCGUUUGCUGUAAAUGUUGACGGUAGAAAAGUAUUAACAUCUUGCGAAAUACUGUUGUCAAUACUCGUUAGUAGACAAGAUCGGUCUCCAACACCGUUUGACGUAAAUAGCUUCUAAAAAAAUGAUGUAGCAUCCUCAUGUGUCUCAAUCUCAUCUGUAGCCUCUCCUAAUUCAUCGAGUUUCAGCCUAGAUAUUGUGUUUACUCAUUUACGAUUUGAGGCAUAUUUGUGAAAAAAGGCUGAAUUCUUAUCUCCUAAUUUAAGCCAGUUUACCCUUGCCUUUUGUUCCUAGUACAUUUCCUCUUUAUCAAUUUCCAUAUUGAGAUGAAUUUUAGUAUCAAUAAUAUUUUCCAACGUAUCAUCAUCCCUUUCUUUCUCAAUCAGUAUCUCUAAGUCCUUAGUAAGCUUCCUCUUAAGCCUCUCUCGCCUUUUUUAAUUUUUCCUGCCCAGCUCUUUAAAUGCAUUUGUAAUCUCUCAAGUUAUUUAGCGUGCCUGCUGUUGAUUCCCAUGAUGUCUUAAUUUCUUCCUCUAUAGACUCCUCCAUGGUCCACCACACCUCAAAUUUAAACCUUGAAUUUCCCCUAUACAAGUUACCGCUGUCUGUAUUCAAAAGAAUUGGGCAAUGAUUAGACAAUGAGUGGGUUAAAUGUUGAACGUAUCCUGUUGGAAAUAGCUGCCUUCAUUUUUCAUUCGCCACACCCCUAUCAAGCCUUUCUUUUAUAUUUGUUUUCGGCAAGUUUCCCCUUUCCCAUGUAAACUAAACCCCUAAAUACCCUAUAUCCUCUAAUUGGCAUUCAUCUAAAGUCUUACGAAAGGCCUUCAUUCGUCUCUCCUCCUUUGGUAUGCCCCCACUUUUUUCAAAAGAAAACAUGAUUUCAUUAAAAUAUCCACUUACUAACCAUGGAAAAGAUUGUUGUUGACCCAAGUUUCUUAGCAGACUCCAAGAAUCAUUCUUCUUAUGAACAUAAGGUGAGCCAUAAAAUCCCGUGAAUCUCCAUUCUUCUUUGACGCCUUCCUCCUUUAAUGUGACAUCAAUGUGGCUUUUUGAAAAACUUCUUACAUUGACCGAGAUAUCCGCUUUAACAUGCCAAACAUAAUAAACCACGAGAACCCUCUGCCUCAACAUCGAUCCCGUUCAGUAAUCCACAACUCCUUUUAACCUUCUCCAUAUGUUUUUUUUAUCAAUUUUUGUCUCCAUAAAGAAGACCAAAUGGGGAUUUUGCUGCUUUAAAAAAUACCACAGCCUUUUACCGCCUGUGGACUCCUCAAUCCACGGACAUUCCAGCUUAAGAUUUUCAUUACGUCUCGUUGGCUUGCCUCUCGGCAACUUUCGGUCCUAUAAAAUUUGAAUUGACACUUUGCUCCAUAUUUUCUAUCUCCAUACCUGUUUGAACGUCACUUUGAUCCGCUACUUCUUCGUGUUUCAUUCUUUUUGCUCCAUCAUCAUAUUCAAAUUCUGUGCAUAAGACUCUGAUUUCCUCUUCUGAGGGUUUCCUCUUCCUCGUAGUACAUUCUUCCCUUUUUUGAUUCUACGCAGCCACUUGAUAUAUUCUUUUCCAGCUGGUCUUUUUUGCUAAAUUUAAAUUUGUUGCAUUCACCUUUUCGUCUUUAUUAAUUGUAUCUCCUUCCCCCUGUUCCGUUGGCGCUUCCUUCUAUACUACCAAUUUUAAGUUCUCUUAAGACCUCCAAAACAUAUUAUUCCCAUCUACUGCUAUUUUGGCAUAAUUCAAUGGUGACUCUGAACUACCAGUAUAAGAGUAUUGGGACGCCUUCUUUUUGAAGAGUGCAUUAAAUUUCAUAUUUUCCUUCCAAAUUAAAUUUGAUUCUGUUUUUAGUGCUGUAGAGUAUGGAGGAUCAUCUCUAAUUUUAUUCUUUUCUGUAGGAAGACAACCCUUGAAAUCAUGCCCCAUUCUUCCACAUCCAAAACAAAACAUUGGUAAUUUCUCAUAUUUGAACGAGAUCCAUGAUUUAUUUAUAUUA